rnacentral:lncRNA from 1 species
ACUAAUAACCAAUUUAUUUUUUAUCACUUUUUAAUUCUUUUGAUUUGAAAAAUAUAUACUUUUCUACAAUAUAUAUAUAACAUUUUCUAUAAUAUAUAUAUAAUAUUCUACGGAAUGGAAUGGAAUGGAAUGGAAUGGAAUGGAAUGGAAUGGAAUGGAAUGGAAGGGACUUCAAGGAUCAUCUAGUUCCACCCCCUGCCAUAGGCAGGGACACCACCCACUAGAUCAAGUUGCUCAGGGUCUCAUCUAACCUGGAUUUGAACACCUCCAGGUACGGGGCAUCCACAACCUCUCUGGGUAUCUUGCUCCAGUGCCUCACCACCCUCUAAGUGAAAAAUUUCCUCCUGACCUCUAAUCUAAAUCUCCCCUCUUUUAGUUUUAAACCAUUCCCCUUAGUCCUAUCAUUAUUUCUCUGAGUAAAGAGUCCUUCAUCCUUUUUAUAAGGCCCCUUUAAGUACUGAAAUGCUGUGAUGAGGUCACCCCAGUGCCUUCUCUUCUGUAGGCUGAACAGCCCCAGCUCUCUUAGCCUGUCUUUGUAGGUGAGGUACUCCAGCCCCUUGAUCAUCUUUGUGACCUUCCUCUGGCACCACUCUAACAGCUCCACAUCCUUCUUGUGCUGGGGGCUCCAGACCUGGACACAGUACUCCAAGUGGGGCCUCAUGAGGGCAGAGUAGAGGGGGACAGCCACUUCCCUUAACCUGCUGGCCACACUUCUUUUAAUGCAUCCCAGGAUGCAGUUGACUUUCUGGGAUGCAAGCACGCACUGCCAACUCAUGUCGAGCUUUGAUCCACCAGAACACCCAAGUCCUUCUAAGCAGGGCUGGUCUCAAUAAGUUCUUCUCCUAGUCUGUACUCACAUCUGGGAUUUCCCCAGCUCAGGUGCAGCAUCGUGCAUUUAGACUUGUUGAACCUCAUUAGGUUCACAUGGACCCACUUCUCAAGCCUGUCCAGGUCCCUUUGGAUGGCAUCUCUUCCUCACUUACUGUAGUUCACUCUUACUGUUCACUCAACUUACUGUUGAGGUUUAACUUCAGCAGGCAGAACCAAGUAUUAAUGUUGCUGAAGAAUGAGUUAAUUUCAGCCUCCCUGUCAGAAUGCUACACCAGACUUCUUCAACAAGUCUUGGAAUGGAAAGCAUCAUUACAAGGUGAUCAGUGCUGCAGACAAAUGUCCUUCCCUCUCUGAUUGGGAUUAUCUGUUCAGCAGGCUUAGCUGGAAAUAUCCUCAUUGUGUUCACAAUAAUAAUGUAUAGAACUGAGUACAUUUGGUAAAAUGACUUAUUGCUGAACAAAAUAAACAAUGACCACACUAAUGGAGUGAAUUGCUG